ensembl:snRNA U6 U6 spliceosomal RNA
AUGCUCACUUAGGCAGCACGUACGCUAAAAAUUGGAAUAAUACAGAGAAGAUUAGCAUGGCCUCUGUGCAAGGAUGAUACGCAAAUACAUGAAGCCUUCCAUGUUAAU